rnacentral:rRNA from 1 species
CCUACGGGUGACAGCAGUGAGGAAUAUUGGUCAAUGGACGAGAGUCUGAACCAGCCAAGUAGCGUGAAGGAUGACUGCCCUAUGGGUUGUAAACUUCUUUUAUAUGGGAAUAAAAUGUUCCACGUGUGGGAUUUUGUAUGUACCAUAUGAAUAAGGAUCGGCUAACUCCGUGCCAGCAGCCGCGGUAAUACGGAGGAUCCGAUCGUUAUCCGGAUUUAUUGGGUUUAAAGGGAGCGUAGGUGGAUUGUUAAGUCAGUUGUGAAAGUUUGCGGCUCAACCGUAAAAUUGCAGUUGAAACUGGCAGUCUUGAGUACAGUAGAGGUGGGCGGAAUUCGUGGUGUAGCGGUGAAAUGCUUAGAUAUCACGAAGAACUCCGAUUGCGAAGGCAGUUCACUGGACUGCAACUGACACUGAGGCUCGAAAGUGUGGGUAUCAAACAGGAUUAGAUACCCGAGUAGUC